rnacentral:lncRNA from 1 species
GCCAGGUGAGCCACACAACGAAUUCAGGUUGAAGUUCAAUGGUCCUCCUGCAGCUCCACAACAAGGUUUGAAAUCUUCCUCAAAUUGGUACUUUUUAUGGUUCAUCUUAAUUGUUAGAUAUGCAUUCCAGAAGUCAGCAUAUAAAAUCUGACAAUUAGGAUACAAUUUACGGAAUCUUUCCAAUCUCCUUUGCAGGAUCUGGUUGUGGAUCAUUACUGCUGUGUUGACAGCUGCUGCACAUCCCAUAUGAUCAAGAGCAGCUUUCACUGGACAUAAUGAGAUAUGUAGUGGAAGGCAUCCUAUUGGUGGUAAGCCUUGAACUACGAUAUACUUUGCUCCGCUUCCCAGCGCUGCCUAUACAUAUACCACCGAUUACUUAGCAUUGCUGUUAUGUCAAAUACCUGCGAUACUAAUAGUCCAUUUGGACAAAUUUCUAGGAUAUUACGAGUGCUUCUUCUUCAAAAAACAAGAAAGCUUAUUUUGGAACGUUAAGGUGUUUGGACUUUUUGGCCAAAAUCCUGAGAAAUUUAAGUGCUUUUGACUAGAAGUAGAAACAGUUUUUUCUUUUGUGAAGGAAAAGCCUGGAAAAGUAGCUUCUUAGUAAGAGUAGAAGCACAAGUUUUUAUUUUUUUUUUCGACAAAACUAUCUUUACCAAAAAAUGUGUCAACUUAUCCUCACAGUGUGAACAUUAACUUAGCUCAUGCAUUUUCAAUGAUACAUAUAUAUGUCCAAAGUCUCGUAAACUUGUUCCUCUCUUUUUUAUUUUAGUUUUUACAUUUUAAUUAAAUGAAGUUGAAAAUUUUAAUUAAGGUCUCUCAUAUAAAUAUUGCAAAACAGUUGAAAUUUUUUAAAAGAUAACACAUUGUUGCUAUAAAUACUAAGAGAAGUGCAUUUCAGAUGAUUCGACAAACACAAACUGCUACCAUCCACAACGACAACAUAUUCACUAUAUUCCCACAAAGUGGGGUCUGGGGAGGGUAAAGUGUACGCAGUUCGUACCACUACCUCAGAGGUGAGGUAGAGAAACAGCUGAUAGACCCCCGGCUUUUCCUUAAACUUCAUUUGACACAAAUACUUAUCAACAUAAGCAAAUCUGGAAGCUUGACAAAAGGGGUUUUACUACUAAUUGUCAUAAAUUGUAGUAUGUCAAAGCUUUUAUGGAGACAAUUAAAUUACUUUUCAUGUACAUACCUCGAUUAGUCUGCUAACUUGAAGGACGGACUGCUGUGUGAGCCAAUGUGUGGAUAGAGAGGACCCUUGUAUACGAGCAUAGUCACUAACACCAACAGAGCCUAUCCAAAAGAGUGCAUUCUCCAAUUCAGCCUUGCAAUUAUUACGUCCCAUCUGUUGCUUCAACGUAUUGAACCAAUCAAUCUGAGUUUGAAAGGUCAAGGGUAUUCCUUUCCAGAAUAGGUUAGUAAUUUUCUUAGUUGAAAAAUCCUCUUUGGGGAGAAUUGUUGAUCCGGCUAUUGCAAAAUUGGCCCCAUUUGUGAAAUUUGCGGAGCUACUCUGAAAGGGUGGCAAAUGUGGUAGCUUAAAAGCAUCACAUAGAAAAUCUACCACCAAAUGUCCAUCACAUAAACCAUUGUUUGAUUUUUCUGAAGUGCUCGAUGAGUGAGCGAAAUUUUCAUUCAAUCCACCCACUAAAUUAGCAUUUCCUGCAUCAGUAUAGGAGUCUCCAAAAGCAUACACCUUGUUGAAGCAUCCUAUAAAGUUAUUAUGCCUGGUUGAAGUGCCGUGGCUACUGUUAUUAGCACGGGAAGAGUUGCCUUUUACAAAAGUAAAGUAAGAGCAAGUCAGUAAAAGAAAAUCUUUGAGGCGUGAAAGCAACUUCCUUUAAGAUAUAUUGUCCGUAGACUAUUUGGGGAUAUACAGACAAGUCCGCUCGUGAUACAACAAAGCCUACAAGUAAACUUAGCCACUAUUCAGAGGAGUCAUGUAUUUAAAGGGUCAAGGCUAUUCAGAAUAGUCAUAUGUUCUUUCAAAAUUAUGACCUGGAUUUGAAUUUAAUUAAAGCUCAAACAUUAAAUGAAAUGAAAAAACCUGGAUUUGAAUUUAAUUAAAGCUCAAACAUUAAAUGAAGUGAAAAAACUAUUUUUUAGGAUGUGUUUGGCGUGAUGGAAGUCUUUUCUGAAAAAGAAAUGACGAAAAUAUUUUCGUGGGAAACGUUUUCUUUAAAAUAUUCUGUUAUACCAAACACCCUCUAUAUAUAAAGCCUUUCAAAUUCAUAUUUAUUUGCCUUUUGAUGCAGGUCAAUCUCACAUCAUAUAUAUUGCAUUCUAUCUAAUGUAAUCAGGGGA